AGUGGGGAAUAUUGCACAAUGGGCGCAAGCCUGAUGCAGCGACGCCGCGUGAGGGAUGACGGCCUUCGGGUUGUAAACCUCUUUCAGUAGGGAAGAAGCGUAAGUGACGGUACCUGCAGAAGAAGCGCCGGCUAACUACGUGCCAGCAGCCGCGGUAAUACGUAGGGCGCAAGCGUUAUCCGGAAUUAUUGGGCGCAAAGAGCUCGUAGGCGGUUUGUCGCGUCUGCUGUGAAAGACCGGGGCUCAACUCCGGUUCUGCAGUGGGUACGGGCAGACUAGAGUGCAGUAGGGGAGACUGGAAUUCCUGGUGUAGCGGUGAAAUGCGCAGAUAUCAGGAGGAACACCGAUGGCGAAGGCAGGUCUCUGGGCUGUAACUGACGCUGAGGAGCGAAAGCAUGGGGAGCGAACAGGAUUAGAUACCCUGGUAGUCCAUGCCGUAAACGUUGGGCACUAGGUGUGGGGGACAUUCCACGUUUUCCGCGCCGUAGCUAACGCAUUAAGUGCCCCGCCUGGNGAAAACGGCCGCAAGNCUA
rnacentral:rRNA from 1 species